AGAGUUUGAUCAUGGCUCAGGAUGAACGCUAGCGGCAGGCUUAAUACAUGCAAGUCGAGGGGCAGCAUGGUGUAGCAAUACACUGAUGGCGACCGGCAAACGGGUGCGGAACACGUACAGAACCUUCCUUCAAGCGGGGAAUAGCCCAGAGAAAUUUGGAUUAAUACCCCAUAGUAUAUCGAUUAGGCAUCUUUUUGAUAUUAAAGAUUUAUCACUUGAAGAUGGCUGUGCGGCUGAUUAGGUAGUUGGCGGGGUAACGGCCCACCAAGCCUACGAUCAGUAACUGGUGUGAGAGCACGACCAGUCACACGGGCACUGAGACACGGGCCCGACUCCUACGGGAGGCAGCAGUAAGGAAUAUUGGUCAAUGGACGAAAGUCUGAACCAGCCAUGCCGCGUGGAGGAUGAAGGUCCUCUGGAUUGUAAACUUCUUUUAUCUGGGACGAAAAAAGGUCUUUCUAGAUCGUCUGACGGUACCAGAUGAAUAAGCACCGGCUAACUCCGUGCCAGCAGCCGCGGUAAUACGGAGGGUGCAAGCGUUAUCCGGAUUCACUGGGUUUAAAGGGUGCGUAGGUGGGUUGGUAAGUCAGUGGUGAAAUCCCCGAGCUUAACUUGGGAACUGCCAUUGAUACUAUCAGUCUUGAAUACCGUGGAGGUCAGCGGAAUAUGUCAUGUAGCGGUGAAAUGC
rnacentral:rRNA from 1 species